rnacentral:rRNA from 1 species
GAUGAACGCUGGCGGCGUGCCUAAUACAUGCAAGUCGAGCGAACAGACGAGGAGCUUGCUCCUCUGACGUUAGCGGCGGACGGGUGAGUAACACGUGGAUAACCUACCUAUAAGACUGGGAUAACUUCGGGAAACCGGAGCUAAUACCGGAUAAUAUAUUGAACCGCAUGGUUCAAUAGUGAAAGACGGUUUUGCUGUCACUUAUAGAUGGAUCCGCGCCGCAUUAGCUAGUUGGUACGGUAACGGCUUACCAAGGCAACGAUGCGUAGCCGACCUGAGAGGGUGAUCGGCCACACUGGAACUGAGACGCGGUCCAGGCUCCUACGGGAGGCAGCAGUAGGGAAUCUUCCGCAGUGGGCGAAAGCCUGACGGAGCAACGCCGCGUGAGUGAUGAAGGUCUUCGGAUCGUAAAACUCUGUUAUUAGGGAAGAACAAAUGUGUAAGUAACUAUGCACGUCUUGACGGUACCUAAUCAGAAAGCCACGGCUAACUACGUG